GAACUGUCUAGACGCUGCCCGGCAUACGCAGCGCCAGGUGGUGCUAAGCAACCGUGAGAUACGCCUUCUCAGGUAUGUGAACCUGACAGAAGAAGAGUGUGCUCGCAUCGAUGGAAAUCCCAAGGUGGCUCGCAAACUAGACCGCCUACGGAAUCGCGGUGCGGGAGCAGCAGGGAGUGGUGCAACAGACGGCCUGCCCGGUAUUGGCGACGAGGAUGACGAAGAGGACGAGGACGCAACUGAGUCGGAGUCCGAGUCCACCGAUUCCGAUCUUCCGAGGUCGGGUGACUGGAGCUGCGAUUCGCUAGGUGCCGCGGUGUCGCCCAGCCACUCGACGGACUGUUCGGGGCCGAAGGCAUCCAGCCCUCUGACGGCCAAUGGGCACGCCUCGAGGAACAGCUGCUGCUGUGGGGAAUGCCGAACAUCAAAGGAGGGGGCGGAAGCAGCCUGCCAAACGCUUUCUACGGGGGACAUUGUCAUAACUAAGGUGUUCUUCGAAGAACAGGAGCACGGGGGAAAAACAAUCAUCCAGUGAGAUUUUAUAUAACUAAACCAGUGAGAGUAGUGUACCUCAGAGAACCGUUACUGUGUUGUGACAUGGCAUUUAAGAGGGCUCUUUUUAAGAGGGUACCGGUAAACCAAGUGACGGCCGAGGCAAAAUAGAGUGGCAGAUUUUCUAUAGGUGGCGCGUGUUCCAUCUGUUCAAAAGGAUUUCCACAACGCACUCAAGAAAGAAUGUACCUGCCAUGUUCUGUGAGGUUUCUUGUGCACGAGUUUUUUUAUGGGGUGCUUGCUUCUGCAGAACCUAUAUGUACAAGUGCCUUGACAUAGCUGCUCACUACCUUGGAGGGUUUGCUUGAAGCUUCCUGGGUUUGAGAGACCUUUUUCCCACAAGUGUGCACUGUCUGUUUAACCAAGUGACAAUGCAGAAUCGUUUCAAUAAGUUUGGAGUCAGGUUGUGUGCUGCACAUUUGAGCACGCAUGCAGUCUGUGCGAACUUGCGGAGAUGAUGUUUUUGUGUUUUGAGAAUAAAAACAAUUGUAGAUGCUUUUAUAGCCAUCUUGUUGGGUAUGGCAUAAACGUGAAUAAACGAAUGCAAGCAGUGGAAGUCACUGGAGCCAAAAUGGUACUUGUCUUCUUCAAACCACACGUGUGUGUGUUUUGUCCCCCAAAAAAACAAAAAGGAAGAGAGAGGAGGGCGUAAACUAUUAGAGGGAAAAUCGCAACUCUAACAGACUACACUGCACUCAAAUCUCAUUAUGACGGUCACGUCCGUUCAUGCAAAAUUUUGUUGCAUAGAUUUGUACCACUGUAUCGAUAACAAGACUUUAUUCACUUUGUUAUAGCAGAUAAUUUAUUAUACCUUGGUUUGUUAUAUUGAGGUUUGAGUGUAGAAUUCGAGAUUCAGUAAUUAUGCAACCAAAUUUCAUUCAGUCUCUGGGAGAAGAUAUUUUUUUUUGAUUUGAAGUUUUCUUUCUUUCUGCUGAUGCUGUUUCAUAUCGCUAUUAGGAGCUUUAUAAAUUAUUAUGCACUAUGUCUUUUGUUCUUAUUCAACUUUUAUUAUAAGGUAUUAGACUUUGAUUCCACCAUUGCAUGUAUUUAUAUCUUUGUAUUUUAUUGUUAAUUGGUAUUGCCCCUCCUGCUAGGAUCAAAUUGUACUGCAGUUAAUUGAGAUAAAUAAAUAAAACAAAACGGGAAGCACAUCAAAAACAAACCAAAGUGAGAGAAUGGUCACAUUGAAAGUUUACACAUUUUGCUUAACUAUAGUUGUCAAAAGUAAGCGCCAUCUAGAAAUGAUAAUUUCACAAAGAUCACAACUUGUUAGAAGAAAAGCUCGAGUCUCACUGGUUUUUUUGUAGUUAACAGACGGGAUGGAUUCAAAAGCCUCUUUUCAAACCUGUUGGCUGGAUGGUAUUAAUUUUGGGAAUAAAGUAGAACUCAAUAUUUUCACCCUUGUCAGUAAUCGUAGGUUUGACUGAGCGUAGCUUUGAUAAAGUUGUCACCUGCCACACUAUAAAAUGCUGUGCCACUGUUUUUGUCAUUUCUUCAUAAUGUCCACACGACGCCCGUUUAAUCUCGUAGUAUUAACAGGCUGUUCUGUAUUCGAUGUUCUAAAUACAUAACGAAAA
rnacentral:misc_RNA from 1 species